GAAUUGACACCCUAGGGUUUUUGUAUACGAACUCCCUCGUUCAUUCUUCACUGCCUUGUCUACCCCCGCAGCUUUUCCAGGAUCACCGAUGGUUCGUGUCGUGUUUUCAGUUUGAGAUUUACUGGAAUACAGUCGUUUAUAAGUUGAAGCUUUGAGUUGAAUUUCCACACUUGAACCUCCAUACAUCCAUCUUCCUUUUGUUUUGGAACGCUGAUGUUUUCAUGUAUAUUCCAUGGGCUUGGGGUCAUGACAUAGACAAUUUGAGCUUCAUUCUUGUUUUGUCGAACUAGAUCUCUUACUAUCAACGGGCAGUGCAACCCGACACAGUUUUCUGAAAGCUUAUAAACAAGGUAACACGAGUAAACUGUAUCAUGUGACAACAUCUGACUUUGAAUUUUGCACUUGAUACGAAAUUUGUGUUGUCAUGGUAGCUCAAUCGCCUCUUGAAAUCUGCAUCAAUUGAACAUAAUUUUUUACGCAACCUAAUAU
rnacentral:lncRNA from 1 species